rnacentral:rRNA from 1 species
AGUGAACGCUGGCGGUAGGCCUAACACAUGCAAGUCGAACGGCAGCACAGUAAGAGCUUGCUCUUACGGGUGGCGAGUGGCGGACGGGUGAGGAAUACAUCGGAAUCUACUUUUUCGUGGGGGAUAACGUAGGGAAACUUACGCUAAUACCGCAUACGACCUACGGGUGAAAUCAGGGGAUCUUCGGACCUUGCGCGAUUGAAUGAGCCGAUGUCGGAUUAGAUAGUUGGCGAGGUAAAGGCCCACCAAGGCGACGAUCCGUAGCUGGUCUGAGAGGAUGAUCAGCCACACUGGAACUGAGACACGGUCCAGACUCCUACGGGAGGCAGCAGUGGGGAAUUUUGGACAAUGGGCGCAAGCCUGAUCCAGCCAUACCGCGUGGGUGAAGAAGGCCUUCGGGUUGUAAAGCCCUGUUGUUGGGAAAGAAAAGCAGCAGGUUAAUACCUCGCUGUUCUGACGGUACCCAAAGAAUAAGCACCGGCUAACUUCGUG